AACGAACGCUGGCGGCAGGCUUAACACAUGCAAGUCGAACGCACCGCAAGGUGAGUGGCAGACGGGCGAGUAACACGUGGGGAUCUGCCCAAUGGUACGGAAUAGCUCCGGGAAACUGGAAUUAAUACCGUAUGAGCCCGCAAGGGGAAAGAUUUAUCGCCAUUGGAUGAACCCGCGUCGGAUUAGCUAGUUGGUGUGGUAAAGCCGCACCAAGGCGACGAUCCGUAGCUGGUCUGAGAGGAUGAUCAGCCACACUGGGACUGAGACACGGCCCAGACUCCUACGGGAGGCAGCAGUGGGGAAUAUUGGACAAUGGGCGCAAGCCUGAUCCAGCCAUGCCGCGUGAGUGAUGAAGGCCUUAGGGUUGUAAAGCUCUUUCGCCGACGAAGAUAAUGACGGUAGUCGGAGAAGAAGCCCCGGCUAACUUCGUGCCAGCCGCCGCCGUAAAAC
rnacentral:rRNA from 1 species